AACGAACGCUGGCGGCAGGCUUAACACAUGCAAGUCGAACGCUCGUAGCAAUACGGGAGUGGCGGACGGGUGAGUAACGCGUGGGAACGUGCCCUGAGGUACGGAAUAACUGAGGGAAACUUCAGCUAAUACCGUAUGAGCCCCGAGAGGGGGGAAAGAUUUAUCGCCUUGGGAGCGGCCCGCGUCGGAUUAGCUAGUUGGUGGGGUAACGGCCUACCAAGGCUUCGAUCCGUAGCUGGUCUGAGAGGACGAUCAGCCACACUGGGACUGAGACACGGCCCAGACUCCUACGGGAGGCAGCAGUGGGGAAUCUUGCGCAAUGGGGGGCAACCCUGACGCAGCCAUGCCGCGUGAACGAUGAAGGCCUUAGGGUUGUAAAGUUCUUUUACCCGUGACGAUGAUGACGGUAACGGGGGAAUAAGCUCCGGCUAACUUCGUGCCAGCAGCCGCGGUAAU
rnacentral:rRNA from 1 species